rnacentral:misc_RNA from 1 species
CCGAGCUUCCCGCCCCUGUGGCGGAACUCCCACCCGUUGUGAUUGCUACGAUCGUUGCUUUGGCGGGCCGUUGGGCCCUGCCCGGCCGCCGGCCCCGUGCCGGCGCGUGCCCGCCAGAGACCCUUUAAAACUCUAAUGUUGUGUCGUCCGAGUCUUCUUUAAAUCGUUA